CAAUAGCGUAUAUUAAAGUUGUUGCAGUUAAAAAGCUCGUAGUUGGAUUUGUGGCGUACGGUGGGUUCCGGGCACUUGUUGUCUGAGUAACUUGCUGUUGCCAUCCUUGGGUGGAACCUGUGUGGCAUUAGGUUGUCGUGCAGGGGAUGCCCAUCAUUUACUGUGAAAAAAUUAGAGUGUUCAAAGCAGGCUUAUGCCGUUGAAUAUAUUAGCAUGGAAUAAUGAGAUAGGACUUUUUUGCUAUUCUGUUGGUUUGCGCAAAGAGGUAAUGAUUAAUAGGGACAGUUGGGGGUAUUCGUAUUCCAUUGUCAGAGGUGAAAUUCUUGGAUUUUUGGAAGACGAACUACUGCGAAAGCAUUUACCAAGGAUGUUUUCAUUAA
rnacentral:rRNA from 1 species